rnacentral:rRNA from 1 species
CGCUGGCGGCGUGCUUAAUACAUGCAAGUCAACUUGACUUUAGAUAGCAAUAUCGAAAAGUAGGGUGGCGCACGGGUGCGUAACGCGUAGGUAAUCUGCCCUGAGGUCUGACAUAACCCGUCGAAAGGCGGGCUAACAUCAGAUGAUAUAUGAUCACGACAUCGUGGAAAUAUCAAAUCUUCGGAGCCUUGGGAUGAGCCUGCGUCUGAUUAGGUAGUUGGCGGAGUAAUAGCCCACCAAGCCUACGAUCAGUAGCUGGUCUGAGAGGAUGAUCAGCCACACUGGAACUGAGACACGGUCCAGACUCCUACGGGAGGCAGCAGUAAGGAAUAUUGCUCAAUGGGGGAAACCCUGAAGCAGCAACGCCGCGUGAAGGAUGAAAUACUUUGUAUGUAAACUUCUGUAAGAUGGGAAAAAUAUUCUCCUCGGGAGAAUUGAUUGUACCAUCAGAGUAAGCCCCGGCUAACUACGUG